GGGCCCGUAGCUCAGGUGGAUAGAGCGACGGCCUUCUAUCCCACGGGAGAAAGCCGUAGGUCGCGGGUUCGAAUCCCGUCGGGCCCG
rfam:Candidate divison MSBL1 archaeon SCGC-AAA261G05 AAA261G05_Contig_0, whole genome shotgun sequence.